UGGAGAUGCCGGGGAUUGAACCCAGGGCCUCUCACAUGCAAAGCGAGUGCUCUACCACUGAGCUACAUCCUC
rnacentral:tRNA from 1 species